rnacentral:rRNA from 1 species
CUACGGGCUGCAGCAGUAGGGAAUCUUAGACAAUGGGGGAAACCCUGAUCUAGCCAUGCCGCGUGAGUGAUGAAGGCCUUAGGGUUGUAAAGCUCUUUCGCUGGGGAAGAUAAUGACGGUACCCAGUAAAGAAACCCCGGCUAACUCCGUGCCAGCAGCCGCGGUAAUACGGAGGGGGUUAGCGUUGUUCGGAAUUACUGGGCGUAAAGCGCGCGUAGGCGGGCUAUUAAGUCAGGGGUGAAAUCCCGGGGCUCAACCCCGGAACUGCCUUUGAUACUGGUAGUCUUGAGUUCGAGAGAGGUGGGUGGAAUUCCGGGUGUAGAGGUGAAAUUCGUAGAUAUUCGGAGGAACAUCAGUGGCGAAGGCGACUCACUGGCUCGAUACUGACGCUGAGGUGCGAAAGUGUGGGGAGCAAACAGGAUUAGAUACCCUGGUAGUC